ACAUUUGCGAUGGAUUGUACCAGUCUCGGUUUGCUCUUCUCGAAUUUCUCUCCAUUCUCUCUUACUGAUUUGUUGUGGAAUCUUCAUCAAGAUCAACAGAAAACGAGAGAACUUGCAUUUCUGGCGUGUCUAGUUGGUUGGUCUUUGAAGGCAAGGAGAGUGAAUCUUAUCAUCUCCAAGCUGUUAAAAAGAGUAACGUCUUGAUCCUUGUUCUCUCUCAGAACUAUGCUUCCAGCAGAUGCUGUCUUGGAGAAUUGCUUGAAAUGAUGGAGUGCAAGAUUAGCAGAGGACACUUAGUCUUGCCUAUACUUUACAAAGUCGAACCAGAGGAUGUGGAGCUCCUAUUAGUGAUGUUGGCAAAGAGAUUUUGCUUGCGUGAGAAGCAUGUUGAUGAAAAGGUUGAGGAUCAAUGGGAGGAAGUGCUCAUAGAAAUUAGGUCCCUAAAAGGAUGGGAUUCCAAGAAAGAUGUCAAUAGGUACUGUUUUACUAGAACCUUCCUUACUUUCCGUGCAUUGACUAUUUGCAUUUCAAUAUCUAACAUAUAUAAUAUAGAGGUGAGGAAUUAACAACUUCAAUAGCUGGGGCAAUCCAUUUAAAAGUUAGUUUGUUGAUGUGCUGUAAUGAGAUUUACCAUGCAAUUAUUGUUGCCUUGUACUUGACCUCUAAUUCUAUUUUCAGGUAUGAAGGAGAAUUGGUAAAAUUGGUUAUCAUGAAGGUUUUGAGUACUUUAAAAAAGGCCUUUAGACUGGUUUUUACUGUGCACGUGGUCAGAAUCAACUCUCCUAUAGAGAAUGUGAUGAUAGUUGUUCAUCGAAAUUCUAGCGCUACCCUUAUUGGAAAUUAUGGAAUGGGUGGUAUUGGCAAGAUAGUUUUUGCUGAAGUCAUCAACAACAAACUUGCUGAUCAAUGUGGAACCAACUAAAUCGUCAAGUUUCUAAUGAGGAUAAAAUAAUAUAAUUAAUCUUACUUUAUUUAAGAGUAAGAAAGUCCUCAUUCUUCUUGAUGAUGUGAAUGAUAAUGAUCAAUUAAAGGAUUUGGUUGGAGAUCACAAGUGGUUUGAGUUAGGAAGUAGGAUUAUCAUUACCACGAGAAGCAAAAUUGUUCUUGAUGAUACUAAGCAGACCUCAAGUAUGAAUAUGAGAUAGAUAACUUCCUUUAGCACUUGAGGUUAUGAAUUUAAUUUUGUAAAAAAAGUCCUCAUUGUUCUUGAUGACUUCCUUUAGCUCUUGAGGUUAUGACUUUCAAUAUUGCUAAGAAAGUUCUCAUUGUUCUUGAUGACUUCCCUUAGCUCUUGAGGUAAUGGGUUUAAUUUUGUACAAAAAGUUCUCAUGGUUCUUGAUGAUGUGGAUGAUAAUGAUCAUUAGAAGCUUUGGGUGGAGAUCAUGUAGGCUUUGAUGGGAUGACACCUGCAAUGUGAAUCAAGGUCUCCAAUAGGAAAUUGAAAGCACUAGGUAUAUCCAAUUGGGCAUUAUCUACCAUUUCCGGGACAUGCAACUCAUUUAUAACUUUCAGCAAGGCGUCCGGCUAGUCUUUCACACGUUUUCUAGUUUCACAGUAUUCCAAAAGUAGUGUAGGUCCGCAAGCAAGAUUACCAUUAGCAGCAAGAUCGUUGCGCUGGAUGGGAAAGUCUGACAACCUGAAUUAAUCAUUAUGUUGAAAGACUCAUUGGGAGAUAUUCUAGAAAUAAGUCCAUCACUUCAGGACGGCUUCCUUUAGUCAUAUGUUCAAUCUUUAGAAAGAAGUUGAAGAUGAGCCACAAAGCAUUAGAUUAUGUGCAAUCAACUGAUGAUCUUGGUAGAGAAAUUGUUCGUCAAGAGGAUUACAACAAAAUCUCGAAGCCAUAGCAGGUUGUGGGUCUAUGACGAAGCCUUAAAGUGGUAGAGAAUAUUAAGGGGAUUGAAAAGAUUCGAGACAAAGGCGGAGAACAAGGUUGGACAAAUUGUUUACCAAGAUGGCGGGGUGACACUAUUUGUGAGUCAUAUUUUCUGACACACGCUUCAGCACAAUGACUGGGUUGUCUUGUAAGUCGAUAAAUCUGAAAUAAUUAAAGAUUUGUUCAUGCCAUUCGAUGGAUGGAAAUUCUUUCUCUGCUAGCCAGUGAGAUUCUGAACUGAUAUCUCACUUGCAGGCAGUAAGUCAUUUCCAUGGAUUGUUUGGCAUAAUAUAUGGUGAACCAUUUCGAAUUUGCUGACUUACAGGACUGAAAUACAGCAACUCUCACUUCUCUCACAAAGUAGUUGUAAUGAUGUGUAUGUUUCCUUAUUAUCAUAUAUGUGUUUCUCGUUUUAGA